AUGCCUUUCGGCUUAUUUGUGGGAGUCAACAAUCACUUCCGAACUAUUAUCUUUGGCGGCGUCCUGGUUCGAGAUGAGACUGUUGAAACCUUUGAGUGGGUAUUCACCGAGUUCAUCCGUAUGAUGGGUGGUAAACACCCACAAACUGUACUUACAGAUCAGUGCAGGGCGAUGGAGCUAGCACUGGAGAACGUCAUGCCCGACACAACUCACAGGUGGUGCAAGUGGCAUGUGCUCAAGAGUGCAAAGGAAAAACUUGGCCCACUUUAUACAAAACGAAGCAAAUUCAGAUCAGAGUUUCACAAGAGAAUCCAACACAUGCUAACAGUUGAUGAGUUUGAGACUGCAUGGAAGGAUCUGAUAGAAAGCCAUGGUUUACAAACACACCCUUACCUCACAAACAUCUAUGAAACAAGGGAGAAAUGGGCAAAGCCAUACUUCAACGGCAAAUUCUGCGCGAAGAUGACAAGCACACAGCGCAGCGAGAGUGCCAACCACAUGCUGAAGGGUUAUGUCCCAGCAAGUUGCCCAAUGCACCUAUUUGUCCGUCAAUACAUGAGGCUACUUUUCAAUAGGGAGGCAAGUGAAAACUAUGAAGAGAGGCGUACAAAAAUAACACCCCCAGUCAUGAAAAUGAAUGCACCACUUGAAAUGCAUGCCAGUGAGAUAUACACCCGGGCUAUGUUCGAUAAGUUUGGCGAUGUUGUGUAUGAAUCAAUGCAGUACAAAGUAGAAGAGGUCUGCAAGGGAGAAACUUAUUUGGUACGGCGAUACCAUCCAGAAAAACAUGAGAAAUGGUGCAGAGUAGUGUACAGGGUAGAAGUUGACAAACUAGCAGACAAACUGAGGUGCGAGUGUGCUAACUUCGAGCACACAGGCUUGCUUUGCUGCCAUUCAGUGAAGGUCCUUGACUUCCUUGGUAUAGACUGUAUACAAGCACACCAUAUUUUGAAACGAUGGACAAAGGACGCACGGGAUGUUCUACCAAAUCAUCUAUCACACCUCCAGAAGGACAUCAUUUCUCUGAACUCAGUUACAUUCAGGCACUCAAACUUGUACACUCAUGCUCUCGAAGUUGUGCAUUUGGGUGAUUCCAACACAGAAGCAUACGAGUGUGCCAUGGAUAUCUUGAAGAAAGCAAUGGACACAUUGACUCCAAUAGCAGCCUUGCAGGAUGGUAUGGGCUUGGAAGCAAGAAUUGAGACACAAAAAAUAAAACAAAAAGAUUUGGUUCCCCUGUCUGUCCCCUACAACACAGCGUGCAGUGAUGCUGAAGGAAGUGCAGUUGGUAAUUUUAGUGGCCUCAGAGCUCCAGAACGCAAACGGAAACCAGGCCGACCAACCACCAGCAGGGACAAACCUCCAUACGACGACCAGAGUGCAAAGAAUAAGUCACACACUCCUAAUGUGCAUGCUGCGAAUGGUUAUGGCACAAGUAAGUGA
rnacentral:rRNA from 1 species